rnacentral:rRNA from 1 species
CCUACGGGAGGCAGCAGUGGGGAAUUUUGGACAAUGGGGGCAACCCUGAUCCAGCAAUGCCGCGUGUGCGAAGAAGGCCUUCGGGUUGUAAAGCACUUUUGUCAGGGAAGAAAUCUUUUGGGCGAAUACCCCGGAAGGAUGACGGUACCUGAAGAAUAAGCACCGGCUAACUACGUGCCAGCAGCCGCGGUAAUACGUAGGGUGCAAGCGUUAAUCGGAAUUACUGGGCGUAAAGCGUGCGCAGGCGGUUCGCUAAGACAGUCGUGAAAUCCCCGGGCUUAACCUGGGAACUGCGAUUGUGACUGGCGAGCUAGAGUACGGCAGAGGGGGGUGGAAUUCCUGGUGUAGCAGUGAAAUGCGUAGAGAUCAGGAGGAACACCGAUGGCGAAGGCAGCCCCCUGGGCUAGUACUGACGCUCAUGCACGAAAGCGUGGGGAGCAAACAGGAUUAGAUACCCUGGUAGUC